rnacentral:sRNA from 1 species
AGUUGUUAUUUAGUUGCUUUCACCCUUUAUCAAACGAUUGGAGCAUAGUUUCACAUAAAUUUCCGAUUUGGUUAAACAAACUCUCCGAUUUAGUUCAUCGAAUUCGCAGAUGUGAGCACCGUCGGUGUAGAUGAUGAUGAUCACGGCGGAUAAGAGACGAGCUUCUUUGGUUUUCUUCUACUUAAUGAUCUAGAUGACGGUUGAUGAUGAUCGAUUCGUAAUCAUCAUCGGAUUUUACGAGAGAAAAGAGAAAAAAAAUACACGGGAA